ensembl:lncRNA
GAAAGUCAUACGGUUUUGGGACGCCAUCGGGGUGAGUAAGAGAUGACCGAGUUUUCAUUUUUGGGAGAGCUAUCCCUUUAAGGUCGACAUGGAAAGGACUCGAGUGUCCUGUGAACUCGACCCCACCGAACACCUUUAGGAUGAACUGGAACAAACAUCCAACCUGACCUCACUGACCCGCUAACGUGUUACACAAACAUGCGAAGCACAUUUCAGUGCUGUCAUAAAAAAUUUUUACAAAAAAGUUCACUGUUUAUUAGAUCCCUGACGGGAAGUCAGGACGUUUUCUGGUCAACUACGGCAGUGGUGGACUUCGGGUAAAAAGAACUGAUUCAUCCUAGGGAGGAGUCUGACGCGGUGUUUUGAGAGACAGAGAGCACAUUCUUCAGUGACUUGGAUUUGAAAAAGGAACGCCACACAGAGCGGCUCCUUUACUGUAAACGAAUGCAGGUAGGAGCCGUUAAAGGAAUCUGCAUCGAUGUAUGAGUUGUAAGGGAAGGCUGAUAGGGGUGUAUCGUGCAGGGUCCUGAUGAGUGAUGAGUGCAUGGGAAGGAGAUAACACUUUGGAUGAAGUCUUGAAGGUGCACCCACUAGUGGCUGGUUUCUGUUGGAAGAACUGGCAUGACGUAAUCCAGCUGUGCUGCAGACCGUGACAGAGAAGACAGCCUUCCUCUGAGACCACUCCAUCAUACGCAUGAAGUCAUUUUACAAAUGCUUUUAAGAUCUUUCCUGCGUAGCGUCCACACUUAUGAACAAUCACCUUCAGGCUGUUGAUAGUAAAAUACAAAAAAUGUAUAUAUAUAUAAACAUCCUCAACUAUUACAAUUUAAAAUAAAUCAUUAUCCUGAUUUCUGCUGAUUUCAAAAUUCUCACGUCUCUGGUGGAUCUUCACAGAUUUUCUAAACAUAAAAUCUCCAAUGAAGUGUCAAACAUUGCGCGCUGAAUCUAACAAACGCUAGAGCUUUUCUAAAACCUUCUAUUCCUUAUAAACCUCCGAAAUCAGCUUUAUCGUCCAGCAGUCCUAAACUGUGUAAAUUGUUCCGAGUUCAGGAAUAUUAGGUCAGGAAUGUUGCUCUGUUUUUGACCGGAAUAUGAACAAUUUUUGUGUAUAAAUAUUGGAAUUGGAAGAUUUCAUUUUUUUUUUUCCACUCAUAGUAUUCCUACACAUGGGCACAUGUACACAUCCUACACAUGUAUUUUUUAAUACACUGUAAGUGAUAUUUAGAAAAAGUCAUCAUUCAUAUGGCGUCAUAUGUUUGUUUGUUUUUAAGUAUGCAUGAAAGGGUUAAUUAAUAAAUUGUGCAAGAAUGAAUUUAUUGUCCAUUAUUUAUAACUAUUCACUGUAUUUAUGUACUGUAUUACUGAAAUACACCGCA